GCUUCAUAUAACAUUACAAAUAUACAAAUACGGAGCUUCAUAUGCAGAAAACUGUUCCUGCUUCUAAUGGGCCGCGGGAGGCAGGGUUGCUCUAUUUAAUCAUUUGAAUCAGCUAUGGGCUGUGCAGUGCUGGAUGAGCUUUACACAGAAUAGCUUUAACUUCUCGAAGCGGAGUAUGAGUGUAGAGAUAGGCGAGUUAGGAACCGACGUGGUGCGAGGAAGCAGGGCGUGUGCACAGACCGUAUUACGGCAGGGAACGCCAAGUUUCUACUUGGGCCGCGCAGGGGCAGUGGUCCCGUUGUUAUGACUAUUACCAAGAGGUGUGUCCCGCUGCUGGUGCAGUGUCCUCUACUCCAACCCUCCGUACCGCAACGGUCCCUGGUUUUGCCGCUGGCCUUGGGUGGGUCGCCCUGUGUGGCUCUCCGGCACACUUGUCGAUGUUCUUUAGAUCCUGGGGCUCAUUGGCGGUGCAACUCAGGUAACUGUCAUCACUAUCGGGCACUAAUGCAAUGUUAGAAAUGGGUUGGUGUUGGGAGGGGGUUUCGUGGCCAGGUUGACUGCAACCGGGCUGAGCCGGCUGGCGGUUUAGCUGCUGUAACGCAAUACGGCAGGACUGAGCAAUAACCCGUUCAGUAACCUAGAUUAUCCUCGCAGACGGCCGUCUUGGUACGUGCUGCUCUGCCCUUCUACCAUGGAUGCAGGAUGGGCCACGUAAUCGAGGGCUUUGUAAAUACCUUCAAGCAUGCACAUAGUUUUAGCUAUGACUCCAUUCUUCUGGAACCUCAAGAAUCCAG
rnacentral:lncRNA from 1 species